rnacentral:lncRNA from 1 species
AAAAAGUCCUUUAGCAACACUUAACACUAAUGUUAAGCCCAAACGCCCCUUGGCUACCUCAGGCAAGCUACUGGCAUUACAGGUUCACAGCGGUUUCUUGGCAGCUGUCAAAACGCCAGUGCUUAUCGAAGCCGCUCACCCUGGCUUUUGAGACCGCCCUAUUUCAACACUGUAAGUGGUCGCAGCAGGCCACUUGCUGCCGAGCUGCCCUCACUUCCAGAUCCUCAGAAACCACCCGCAACACAGCGCCCUCACAAACCUGUAGUCCUCGUAAGUGAAAGACUCCUUCAAGGGCAGUUUGUUGGCAUGAGGAUGGGUCUGGGAAUCAACGGUUUUAGGAAGCAGAGGUGGGGGGGAAAAAAGGGAGAAAACAGAAAUCAGUCAACAGAAUUUCAUUAUUUAGCUGCUAACAGAUCCUAACAAGAGCCAAAUGAAGCAGGAGGCGUCCAGCCGCGCAACUGAGGGAUCAGUGUGCUAUUGUGCCCUCAUACAUCACUGUCAACUUAAUUUGUUGUGCCCAGCGGCCGCCAUAAAUCUGCUCCUUCACACUUCCAUCCGGAACCCACAGACACCACACAAGACAGUGUAAGGUGGACUGCUGCACAAAGGCAGGCACACCCUCUGCUACGAGUACGAGCUCUGAGGGAACAUGGAGCCUGCAAAGCCAAUAGGGAGGCUUGCCUCUCCCGGGGUCUCAUGCUCUGCUAGAUUUUAUUCUCUUUGUAUGUCACAAGAAGCAACACUUACAAACCCUCUAGUACGUUGGAAAUACUCUCACAUUCUCUAAUAACACUUGAUGACAAUCGACUUAGGUGCAAAUGAAUUAUUUACACAGUAAAUGUGGAUCAAACACAGGAAAUCAAGCAAAGUCAAGUCUUGUGAGAGAAUGAAGUAAAUUAUACAAGUAAGAUAAAGAUAACACAGACAAUCAUUAAAUUACUUUUUUCUCUAAACAAAAGAACAUUUGAUAAAAUAUCCAAAACUUUACACAUGGAAGAAAAUUUUAUAGCUUCACAUUCCCUUUUUAUAAUGCCCUACCCCUUAGACCUGUAAGCACUUAAAACUCUGUCUCAAUUAAGGAAUUAAAGCUGUAACAGUGUGAUUUUAACCUUAAGUUUCAGUUACAGUCUGAGACAGAUUGCAGUUAAGUGAUCAGAUUAACAAACGGUUGUUUCUGAGCUGGAGACCAGAUCUGCGGAAGCUGAUCGUGUGCCUGCUAGUGUGGCUCCACGCAGCAGUUUUAACUCCAGGUACGGCACGGCAAGUGCACUGCAAUUCAUCACCGCUCCCUGUACUGUGCUGGCUGGUACUGUGCGCAGGGCAGUAGGGAAUGAGGCAGAAGUGGCUCAAACCGUAAAUCACUCAGAAAAACAAAAGCUUGUCCUUGGUGCAUAAUCUUAGACAAAUUAUAUAUUACAAAAGGGGCUAACUGGGUGUUAGCUCCCAGGUGCCUGCUUCUCCUCUCUUUAUAGCCUCAUUUUAAGCCUUUGGAAGAAAAGUCAAAAUGUAAAACUGUAUUUACAUAAUCUUUAAGAUGCAUGUUGGGCCAGGUGUAUCUGUACAUACCUGUAAACACCAGCACUUGAAAGGCUAAGAUGGGAGGAUCAGAAAUGUGAGACCUGCCUGUGCUACCUAGCUAGUACCUGCCUCAACAUAAAUAAAUCACAAUGCGAUAAAAUGAAUAUUGUACUAGCAAUGUGCAAUUAAAUAAGAGACUUUAAGGGGACGUACAGAACAUGACAGGGCACUUCCAGUCUGGUUCAGGAAAUGGUAUGCUAGGGGAGGUCAGCCCCGCCCCACCGGCCUGCCCUGGAGCCUGUGCUCUGAGGAUUCGAGGUAUGCCUUCCUCUUACUUAUCACAUUUAGCCAAGACAGAGUCCAGAUUUCCCUUUAAACAUACUAAUCACCAUAAGGCCCUUUCCUCUUCUCAAAACUAACCUGGUAAGAAGAGACAAACUGCAAAAUAGUAAGGAGAACGGAUUCUAUUGACCAAUUUUCCUUUCAUUUGUAAUAAAGUGAAAUCUCAUUUUAUCUUAUGAUUGAAAACUUUGCACACCCAAAUUCUCUUUCCAAAGUCUAAAAGAUGCAAAAAUUUUAUUUUUAAAAAAUGUUUUAAUUCUCUUAAACUAUGGAAUUUACUAUGGCCUUUUGAAAGUUGGUAAAUACCUAUGUGAAAUCUCAGAAAUAAUAAAAUUUUAACACCCUCCCCACAAAAGGCUGAUAUUAAAUAAGGGAAAAAAUUGACAGUUUUCAGUUUUGAAAAGCACUUAAACAUUCUUCCAACAGUUGAGUUUCUUUAUCUUGGAUUCCUCAAGAACAUGUAUGGCCACUCCAGGACUAAGAAGAUGGAAGGCUAAACCAAUGUGCACCUUCUAAUAGUUUGCAUAUAUCCUGCAUGACCUAACAGUUCUGAUAAAAUCAUUAAAAAUAAAAACCUC